GUGGCGAAGGCGAGCUUCUGGCCAGAAACUGACGCUGAGGCGCGAAAGCGUGGGGAGCGAACAGGAUUAGAUACCCUGGUAGUCCACGCUGUAAACGAUGUGCACUAGGUGUUGGCUGUGAUAACGGUCAGUGCCGAAGCAAACGCGAUAAGUGCACCGCCUGGGGAGUAUGCUCGCAAGGGUGAAACUCAAAGGAAUUGACGGGGGCCCGCACAAGCGGUGGAGCAUGUGGUUUAAUUCGAUGAUACGCGAGGAACCUUACCAGGGUUUGACAUAUGGCGGACUGCGGCAGAGAUGUCGCUUCCCUUCGGGGCCGUCAUACAGGUGCUGCAUGGCUGUCGUCAGCUCGUGCUGUGAGGUGUUGGGUUAAGUCCCGCAACGAGCGCAACCCCUGCUGUCUGUUACCAGCACGUAAUGGUGGGGACUCAGGCGGUACUGCCGGUGACAAACCGGAGCCCGCUGGGGACGACGUCAAGUCAUCAUGGCCCUUAUGUCCUGGGCUACACACGUGCUACAAUGGCCGGUACAGAGUGCAGCGAAACCGCGAGGUGGAGCAAAUCACAGAAAGCCGGUCUCAGUACGGAUUGGAGUCUGAAACCCGACUUCAUGAAGCUGGAAUCGCUAGUAAUCGCGCAUCAGCAUGCGCGCGCUGAAUACGUUCCCGGGCAUUGACACACCGCCCGUCACACCACCCGAGUUGGGGUACCCGAAGUCGCU
rnacentral:rRNA from 1 species